UACGGGGGGGGCAAGCGUUGUUCGGAAUUACUGGGCGUAAAGGGCGCGUAGGCGGCUCAAUCAGUCGGGCGUGAAAGCUCUGGGCUUAACCCAGAAAGGUCGUUCGAUACUGUUGGGCUAGGGUGUGGAAGAGGCUACUGGAAUUCCGUGUGUAGCGGUGAAAUGCGUAGAUAUCAGGAAGAACACCCGUGGCGAAAGCGGCUCUCUGGAACGGUACUGACGCUGAGACGCGAAAGCGUGGGGAGCGAACAGG
rnacentral:rRNA from 1 species